rnacentral:rRNA from 1 species
GACGAACGCUGGCGGCGUGCUUAACACAUGCAAGUCGAACGGUAAGGCUCCAGCUUGCUGGGGUACACGAGUGGCGAACGGGUGAGUAGCACGUGGGUGACCUGCCCUGCACUUCGGGAUAAGCCUGGGAAACUGGGUCUAAUACCGGAUAGGACCAUGGUGUGGAUACUGUGGUGGAAAGUUUUUUCGGUGUGGGAUGGGCCCGCGGCCUAUCAGCUUGUUGGUGGGGUAAUGGCCUACCAAGGCGGCGACGGGUAGCCGGCCUGAGAGGGUGGACGGCCACAUUGGGACUGAGACACGGCCCAGACUCCUACGGGAGGCAGCAGUGGGGAAUAUUGCACAAUGGGCGGAAGCCUGAUGCGGCGACGCCGCGUGGGGGAUGACGGCCUUCGGGUUGUAAACUCCUUUCACCAUCGACGAAGGGUUUCUGACGGUAGAUGGAGAAGAAGCACCGGCUAACUACGUG